rnacentral:rRNA from 1 species
CAGCACCUCAAGUGGUCAGGAUGAUUAUUGGGCCUAAAGCAUCCGUAGCCGGCGCUGUAAGUUUUCGGUUAAAUCUGUACGCUCAACGUACAGGCUGCCGGGAAUACUGCAGCGCUAGGGAGUGGGAGAGGUAGACGGUACUCGGUAGGAAGGGGUAAAAUCCUUUGAUCUAUUGAUGACCACCUGUGGCGAAGGCGGUCUACCAGAACACGUCCGACGGUGAGGGAUGAAAGCUGGGGGAGCAAACCGGAUUAGAGACCCGGUAGUCC